AUUGCCUGCGAUACGAAGUGGUGCCUUCGUUGCGCAAAAAAAGUAUUGAUGCAGGUCUUUGAGGCAAUUUUCACAGCCUGAAAGUGGGGCAGGAGGAGCAGGGAUGGACUGCUACCAAUCCCAGGAAGCUGGCUUGGAAAUGAUGGAUAAACAGGGAGGAGGAAGAGGAGGAACCACCCUUCCCACGCAGCCCAAAACAAAGGUUUCAGACUCUCCCCCUGCGUUGGGACAUGGCCUGAUGCCAGCAGUGAGAGCUGUCACCCAGUCUGUGUGCCCUCUUGCUCAUGUAUCCUGGGCUCUCUCUGAUCGCUGGGGCCUGGACUCCCACUGA
rnacentral:lncRNA from 1 species